GCUAAAGCUCUCUCUUCUUCUCUGAAAACUCCUGAGAUUUGUCCCAUAUAACCUUGAUGAUGACAUUUCCUUCCUUUGUAGAUAUAACCACACUCUAGCUGCAGUUGGUGAGCAGAUUUUCUUGUACGGUGGAUGUGGGGAGGAUGAAUGCUAUUACAAAGACAUCUAUGUUCUCAGCACAGGCUCGCUGGAGUGGCAUCAGUGGGAGGUGAGAGGGGACUCUCCAGUGUCCCACGCUGGCCAGACCCUCACCGCCCACCGAGAUAAGGAUAUCUAUUUGUUUGGUGGUAAGAUCGUGAGCCCAGAUGGAGCAGUUACCACAUCAAAUGAACUCUACAAAUUAAGCAUAG